UUGGUGCUUUUCCUGUCUUUGUGUGACAACAACGUACAAACCUUGCAAUUAGUAAAGAAAAUGAUUAGUUACCUCCUAUAGCAAAGGUUGAUACAUUAUUUAUUUUAAAUAAAUAUCAUUUUAAAAAAUUAUAUUCCAUAACUACCUUUUAAUUUUUAUAGCCAAAUAUCUAUUUAUGGUUACCGCUACCCUUAAGCCAUAAAAUACGCCGCCCUCUCUCUCAUAAAAUAGUUGCCUCUCUUUCUACCAUUCCCUUCUCGGAACCAAACAGAAAAUCCAUGCUUCCGGUCGGCGACGCAACAGCUCCCGCCGGCGAAGGCGCAUGAAUCGGGCCGGAAUUC
rnacentral:lncRNA from 1 species